rnacentral:pre_miRNA from 7 species
CUGUUGUCUUGCGCGGCAUCAUCAGGAUUCACACAAGGUAAACAAAGUCGGAUGCCCAUGCACAUAUGUAGGUCUGGUUCGAUCCGUUGCUUGCGUGAGAAUCCUGAUGAUGCUGCAUUGGAGAACAA